rnacentral:rRNA from 1 species
GAUGAACGCUGGCGGCGUGCUUAACACAUGCAAGUCGAACGAAGCAAUUUAACGGAAGUUUUCGGAUGGAAGUUAAAUUGACUGAGUGGCGGACGGGUGAGUAACGCGAGGGUAACCUGCCUCAUACAGGGGGAUAACAGUUAGAAAUGACUGCUAAUACCGCAUAAGCGCACAGGACCGCAUGGUCUGGUGUGAAAAACUCCGGUGGUAUGAGAUGGACCCGCGUCUGAUUAGCUAGUUGGUGGGGUAACGGCCUACCAAGGCGACGAUCAGUAGCCGACCUGGGAGGGUGAACGGCGACAUUGGGACUGAGACACGGCCCAAACUCCUACGGGAGGCAGCAGUGGGGAAUAUUGCACAAUGGGCGAAAGCCCGAUGCAGCGACGCCGCGUGAGCGAAGAAGUAUUUCGGUAUGUAAAGCUCUAUCAGCAGGGAAGAAAAAUGACGGUACCUGACUAAGAAGCACCGGCUAAAUACGUGCCAGCCGCCGCAGUAACAC